UCGGUUCAUUUCGGUGCAAACAAACGAAUACGUCCGUGUUGCACCCGGACAAAAAAUAAAGGAGGACAGCCCGCUGCCGACAAUUAAUGAAGAAAAUUAGUCUCACCUGACAGAGCAGAAGCGUGGACGAGCAUCAGCAGGCAGCAACACGCCACCUGUCGCGACCACAGCAUCUUCUUCCUUCGUCGUUUCGUGAACGUCAGCCACUCCGGAAAGUCACAGCGAGCGUGUACAUAUCACAACUGUGUGAACAUGGAGACAGUGGCUGAGUGUGCCUGCUGUCAUGAGAUACAGGCAGUGGCCAGAACAAUGGAGCAGGAAGCGGUGGAGACGUGCAUCAUAGACCACCCUGGCUUUCAAUCUGCGUGUCUGGAUGAAUGAGUGCUGCAGACAGCGUAUUAGGCCUACAAACAGCAAUAUGGCGUGCUGCAGCAACAGCAAAAUGAGUGAGGCACUAAUAAGUUUGAAUAAUUCUUUAUUUUAUCAACCUUUGGAGGAUAAGUCAGAAUGAGCACUUUCUUUUCUUAUUCUUAUUCUGUGAAAUGUACUAUGCUACAAUGUACAUGGCAUCAUAUAUCAUAGAAGUAUUACAUACAUGGACCAUAGAUGUCAACAAUAUUUACAAUUUACUGAUUGAUUGGCAACACUAAAUUGGCCCUAGUGUGUGAAUGUGAGUGUGAAUGUUGUCUGUCUAUCUGUGUUGGCCCUGCGAUGAGGUGGCGACUUGUCCAGGGUGUACCCCGCCUUCUGCCCGAUUGUAGCUGAGAUACGCGCCAGCGCCCCCCGCGACCCCGAAAGGGAAUAAGCGGUAGAAAAUGGAUGGAUGGAUGGAUGCAACAGUAAAUGACAAAUGAAUAGAAUGCAUGACAAUGUCUUUUGCAUCUGAGAGAACAGUGAGUCACUUUGUAUCCAUGUCUGGAUAAUAACAGGUGCCAUAAUUUGCCAUCAACUAUUUUGUACUUCCAGGCGGGAUUGAUACACAGCAUAUCAACAGUUUGUCCGCUUCUGCUGGGGAUAUCUGGGAAAGGAGAUAAGGGUGGCACUACCAGCUUUUGUAGUACAUAAGAUUAAAACAACAUUUCCACGGGGUUCCAAGACGUGCAGUGACUGCAACAGAAUCCACAUGGCCACUGUAGUUAAAGGGGAACAUUAUCACCAGACCUAUGUAAGCGUCAAUAUAUACCUUGAUGUUGCAGAAAAAAGACCAUAUAUUUUUUUAACCGAUUUCCGAACACUAAAUGGGUGAAUUUUGGCGAAUUAAACGCCUGUCUAUUUAUCGCUCUCAGAGCGAUGACGUCAGAACGUGACGUCACAUAGGUAAUAAAGCCGCCAUUUUCUCAAACACAUUACAAACUGUUAUUUUCAGUUUUUUCCACUGUUUUCUGUACCUUGGAGACAUCAUGCCUCGUCGGUGUGUUGUUGGAGGAUGAAACAACACUAACAAGGAGGGAUUCAAGUUGCACCACUGGCCCAAAGAUGCGAAAGUGGCAAGAAAUUGGACGAAAUUUGUUCAAAAUACGAGGGUGGGGGGGAAAGCCGACGAAAUGGUCAGUCGUUUGUUCCGCACACUUUGCCGACAAAAGCUAUUCUACUACAGAGAUGGCAAGAUUGUGUGGAUAUCCUGCCACACUCAAAGAAGAUGCAUUUCCAACGAUAAAGUCAAAGAAAUCUGCCGCCAGACCCCCAGUGAAUGUGCUGGAGUGUCUGCAAAUUUUACCGGCGGUGCUAAGGCAGACAUGGCACAGAGAUGUAUGGAUAUCCCGCUGAUGCAUUUCCAACGAUAAAGUCAACGAAAUCACAAAGGUGAGUUUUGUUGAUGUUAUUGACUUAUGUGCUAAUCAGACAUAUUUGGUCGCGGCAUGACUGCCAGCUAAUCGAUGCUAACAUGCUAUUUAGGCUAGCUGUAUGUACAUUUGUAGCUAUAUUUGCAUCCUGCGUUUCCCUCCACCUACAUUUAAUGCCAAACAAACACUUACCAAUCGACGGAUUUAAGUUGAUCCAGUGUCACAAGAUGCGAAAGCCCCGAACGUUUGGUCUGCACAUUUUACCGGCGAUGCUAAGGCAGACAUGGCCGAAUAGCGUUAAAAGCUAUUCGCUCAAUAGCUUCACUUUCUUCUUCAAUUUAGUUUUCGCUAUCUCCAUACUCCAGCCAUCCGUUUCAAUACAUGCGUAAUCUGUUGAAUCGCUUAAACCGCUGAAAUCCGAGUCUGAAUCCGAGCUGAAGUCGCUAUAUCUUGCUGUGCUAUCCAUUUGUUUGUAUUGGCAUCCCUGGAUGAUGUCACAGGAAAAUGGACGGUGGCUUCACAGAUAGCGAAAAUCAAGCACUUUAAAGCCUUUUUUCUGGAUAUUCCGGAUGGGUAAUAUUUUGAAAAAAACUUCGAAAAAUAUAAUAAGCCACUGAGAACUGAUUUUUAUUGGUUUUAACCCUUCUGAAAUUGUGAUAAUGUUCCCCUUUAACGCUUAACAAAGCGACUCUUGUGCUUGGCGAUGGCUUCCUCCUUGUCUGGUUUCUCCAGUUCAUCGCAGAGGAAGGGAGGCACAUCCACGGUGACGCUGACUGGUGUUCUCUCGUCAGGGAUGUUGACAGCUGGUUGUCGGCCGCCAGGAGUUCCUGGAAACCACGAUCCCAAAUCUUUUAAACUCCCACCUCCCUUCCCUGCACGGAAGUAAAUUCUUCUAGGAGGUCUUGCUCACAGGCAUGUAUUGCAUGUAUAAUGUUUGAUAAACAUAAAUGUCAGUGAAGUUGUUUGAAAAAUGUUUGCAGGUUUGAUGUUGAGUCAUUGAGAAUGCAGAGUUAGAACGAGAAUUUAAAAAUAGUUCAGAAUUUUGGCUGUAACAACUAAAGUAAACUUUUCAGAGUAUUGUGCGUCGCAAAUUAUUUGCCACUUGCCAAAAUUAAACAUUUUAUUUUGCGAAAUGUACCUAGUUUUAAAGCUAUUUACUUAAAAGCCUACUGAAACCCACUACUACCGACCACGCAGUCUGAUAGUUUAUAUAUCAAUGAUGAAAUAUUAACAUUGCAACACAUGCCAAUACGGACGGUUUAGUUUACUAAAUUACAAUUUUAAAUUUCCCGCGGAGUUUCCUGUUGAAAAUGUCACGGAAUGAUGACGCGUGUUUGUGACAUUAUUGGUUGGAGGGAACAUUUUAGCCCAGCACCACACACGGCUAAAAGUCAUCUCUUUUCAUUGCAUAAUUACACAGUAUUCUGGACAUCUGUGUUGCUGAAUCUUUUGCAAUUUGUUGAAUUAAUAAUGGAGAAGUCAAAGUAGAAAGAUGGAUGUGGGAAUCUUUUAGCCUUUAGCCACACAAACACACGGUGUUUCCUUGUUUAAAAUUACCGGAGGUGAAGCUUAACUAUGGAUCAGAGCGGUCAAGCGAACAUGGAUCCCGACGACAUGUCGACCGGCAGUUUUCGGUGAGAAAAUUGUGAAAAUAAGUCGCCUCUUAUUGAAGAUCAGCGGAGCUUCUGUCGUGCUGCAGCUGAUUGUGACUUCCCUCAGAGACUCUGGCGUCAACACACCCGUGGCCACACCCCUUAAAUAGUAUCUAUCAGGUACUAUUUAACUCACGAAAACAAUAAUAACACAAUAGGCAGAUAAGGGAUUUCCCAGAAUUAUCCUAUGUGUCUAAAAACAUCUGAUUCGCUCCCAAUGCAGUCACCUUUUUUAAAUUUUUUUCUAGUCCGUCACUCUAAAUUUCCUCAUCCACGAAUCUUUCAUCCUCGCUCAAAUUAAUGGGGAAAUUGUCGCUUUCUCGGUCCGAAAAGCUCUUGCUGCUGGAGGCUCACAUUUUAAACAAUGUGAGGAUGUGAGGAGCCCUACAACCCGUGACGUCAUGCGCACAUCGUCUGCUACUUCCGGUACAGGCAAGGCUUUUUUAUUAGCGACCAUAAGUUGCGAACUUUAUCGUCGAUGUUCUCUACUAAAUCCUUUCAGCAAAAAUAUGGCAAUAUCGUGAAAUGAUCAAGUAUGACACAUAGAAUGGACCUGCUAUCCCCGUUUUAAAUAAGAAAAUCUAAUUUCAGUAGGCCUUUAACUUUAGUCACUGGUUUGACAUUAUAAUCUUCACUUUAGCGUGUAGUUUAAAAAUAUUAAAAUUGAGAAAAUAACUUUUCAAAUCAGAUAUUUUUCCUCCUACAUAGAAAAUUGUCCCGAAGGUGCUCAAUUUAAGAAUUCCAAGUUGAAUAAUGCUUGUUUUCAAAAUAAAAUAUUUAUUUUUAGCUUCAAAAUCCUGCUAAUUUCUAGAUAAACAGGAUUUCUUAUCAAGUAAAUGAACUAACUGCGCUGACAGAUAAUUUCACACAUUUUUUGUAUUUUUUCCCCAAAUCUAGUCUUUUUAGCUUAUAUUUUGUCAGCCUUUUUUUUUGCAAUGUGAGCAGUAUAUCCUGACCUCUUUCGACUUUUAGUACAAAAUGACGUAAACUAACUGCGAUGAAGUUGCAACUUGUCCAGGGUAUACCCCCCCUUCCGCCCUAUUGUAGCUGAGAUAGGCGCCAGCGCCCCCCGCGACCCCAAAAAAGGGAAUAAGCGGUAGAAAAUGGAUGGAUGGAUGGACGUAAACUAAGCUACACAUAUGCAUUUGUGUGUUGUCAGCUAUAAUGAUAGCGAUUUGGUAAAGACUAUAUUUUCUAACAUUAGCGGUCAUUGAAUGGAUAUUUUAUCAUAACAACAACAUACCUGCAAAUUGUUAGUUGCUUCUGUGGUACUACUUUGGUGUAUGUGCAUGCUCUGCAGGCGUGUGCAUGCUCUGCAGGCGUGUGCAUGCUCUGCAGGCGUGUGCAUGCUCUGCAGGCGUGUGCAUGCUCUGCAGGCGUGUGCAUGCUCUGCAGGCGUGUGUAUGCCCAGCAGGCGUGUGCAUGUGUACGAGACAGCUGUGAGUGACAACCAUGAAUUCCUGACAAAUUAAUCAGUCAAAAGUGCAAUUUUUAUUCAAUGUAAUUUGUAAUUGUGAACAGUUUUCAAAAAUGUUUUAAAAAUAUAUGUUCUGUUUAUCCACCAGCUAGGUGGUAUUUUGAUAUUACAUCAUAGAUUGUAAAAUGUAAGUUUGAGCAAGUCGCAAACAGCACAUUUAACAUUUUCCAAUUAGCCUUAUUUCAAACCUAAGCUGUGCCGGCGCUUUAUGAGACUGCCAUCUUGUGGCCAAAUAGCAGCAUUACUUAACAAGAGUUCACAAAAAAAACAGUGACAGUUAAGUUAUUUUAAUGAAAAAAAAGUAUAUAUACAUAUUAAAUUGAUAUAAUAAUACAAUAAAAUACAUUUUUAUUAUUUUUAUGAUUAUUGUCCUAAUUUAAUUCAAUUUUAUUAUGGCUGUCAAAAAUAAAAUGUUAACUCAUGUGAUUAAUCACAAAAAACAAUCACAUUAUUAAUUGACAUACGCAGAUCAAUCACACAAUUUAUUUUGAUUAUAUAUGUUCUGGUUGCCUGAAAGGCGGCACCGUUUGCUAUAGGGUCAGUGAUCAGAUCAUUGCAUAUACGUCAGUGCAAAUAUGACUGAAGAGACUCUGAUUGGUGUGCUUGUUUGCAAAUUUUACUUCAAAAUACACCCUUACUGGACUUUAAAUAAAACUGUUACCAAGUUUUAAAUAAAUAAAUUACAUGUAUUCAAGUUAAAACAGCUUUUUAAAUGUUUCUGUACGACAUUCUGACAAAAAACUGCAUUUGUGUCCAAAUAAUAAGGUCUUAUUUAGGUUAAUUUAAAUCAUGCAAGCGAGCAAUAACCUGUAAAUAAUCAUGAUUAAUCCAAAUUCAAUUUAAUUAUAUUUUAAAAAAUGGACAGUACUCAUUUUAAUAUAUUUACCUUCAUUUAUGAACUUAAUGUUACAAGUUAUUAAAAUAAAAACAAGACAUAAGUCAUAAUGUUUUUAAUGUUACAAUGUACUACUGUAAUGAAACAAACAAUGUAAUUAUUCCCAGGUUUAGUCUAUGUAUUUUUUGAUACAGUUUUAGGAGGGGAUAAGAAGAAAUAUUCGAUAAAUAAUAAAAACAUUCAUUUAUUAUCUUGAAAAUAUGUGAUUAUGUUUAUCACAAAUAUUGAGGUCAUAUGCAUGUAUUCUAAAUAAUAAUAGAUAAAAGAUCAUUUGUACUUACAGAAGCAGUGGUACUCUGUUUUAAUACACCUUUCCACCAUUUGAAGCUGUAAUGACAAUAUCAAACAAAAGGAAGAAGUCUGGAGUUAAAAUCAUAUACAUUUCUUAAGCGCAACAGUUAUGACUUAAGUUUUGAGGCUUUAUUUUCAUUAUAGCUUAAAUUUUAUUGACAGUUUAGUUAAUAAACAUAUUCAUUUAGUUUAUUUUAGCCAAAAUAAUUGUAUAUAAAUACAUUUUUAAUACUUAUUUUUCUAAUAAGCCUUACCUGAGUCAAAGGAUUAUGUGUUAUAUACAUGUUGUCAUGCCUGUAAAUCAGUUUGGUCAUGUUUAUGUUUUGUUUUUCCCGUUUUGCACUUCCUGGUUUUGUUUGUUUCCAUAGUUACUCAUUAGUUUCCACCUGGUCUCCAAGUCACGCCCCGGUCCUCAGCCUCACACCUGUUAGUAAUCAUCAUCACAGUCAUUAUUUAUACCAUUCUGUUUCUGUCCUCGCUCUGGGAAAUUUUCUUGCACACUACUUAGCUACCUACCGGACUUUGUAUUGAACCCUCAUGACCACGCACCUACCUUUCCUUGCUGACCUUCAUGCCUUGUCACGCUGCUAAUUGUUUUGACCACGCCACGUAAGAUUUUUGUUUGUAUUUAUGCCUCAGUGCAAGUUUUUGGUUUUUCGCAUCAUAGAUAGUAUCUUUUGUUUCAUUUGUAUAUAGCCAUGCCAUCGUGCUGUUUUUGUUUUCUUGAGUAUAGUCUAGUUUUUAUCCGCCAUUGAGCGCAUCCUUUGUUUUGUCUGUUUUGUAUUCUAGUGUGUAAAUAAAAUAAUCAUGUACUCACAUUCAC